AUUGAACGCUGGCGGCAUGCUUUACACAUGCAAGUCGAACGGCAGCGCGGGCUUCGGCCUGGCGGCGAGUGGCGAACGGGUGAGUAAUACAUCGGAACGUGCCCAGUAGUGGGGGAUAGCUCGGCGAAAGCCGGAUUAAUACCGCAUACGACCUGAGGGUGAAAGCGGGGAUCUUCGGACCUCGCGCUAUUGGAGCGGCCGAUGGCAGAUUAGCUAGUUGGUGGGGUAAAGGCCUACCAAGGCGACGAUCUGUAGCUGGUCUGAGAGGACGACCAGCCACACUGGGACUGAGACACGGCCCAGACUCCUACGGGAGGCAGCAGUGGGGAAUUUUGGACAAUGGGCGAAAGCCUGAUCCAGCAAUGCCGCGUGUGUGAUGAAGGCCUUCGGGUUGUAAAGCACUUUUGGCGGGAACGAAAAGGACUGUGCCAAUACCACGGUUCGAUGACGGUACCCGCAGAAUAAGCACCGGCUAACUACGUG
rnacentral:rRNA from 1 species